UGGGACACAGUACUUGCCCUCAAGGGGAGGA
rnacentral:piRNA from 1 species